GACGAACGCUGGCGGCGUGCUUAACACAUGCAAGUCGAACGGUAAGGCCCUUCGGGGUACACGAGUGGCGAACGGGUGAGUAACACGUGGGUGAUCUGCCCUGCACUUCGGGAUAGGCCUGGGAAACUGGGUCUAAUACCGGAUAGGACCACUGCCUGCAUGGGCGGUGGUGGAAAGCUUUUGCAGUGUGGGAUGGGCCCGCGGCCUAUCAGCUUGUUGGUGGGGUGAUGGCCUACCAAGGCGACGACGGGUAGCCGGCCUGAGAGGGUGACCGGCCACACUGGGACUGAGAUACGGCCCAGACUCCUACGGGAGGCAGCAGUGGGGAAUAUUGCACAAUGGGCGCAAGCCUGAUGCAGCGACGCCGCGUGAGGGAUGACGGCCUUCGGGUUGUAAACCUCUUACAGCACCGACAAAGCGCAAGUGACGGUAGGUGCAGAAGAAGGACCGGCCAACUACGUGCCAGCCGCCGCCGUAA
rnacentral:rRNA from 1 species